rnacentral:rRNA from 1 species
GAUGAACGCUGGCGUCGUGCCUAAUACAUGCAAGUCGAGCGAACAGACGAGGAGCUUGCUCCUCUGACGUUAGCGGCGGACGGGUGAGUAACACGUGGAUAACCUACCUAUAAGACUGGGAUAACUUCGGGAAACCGGAGCUAAUACCGGAUAAUAUAUUGAACCGCAUGGUUCAAUAGUGAAAGACGGUUUUGCUGUCACUUAUAGAUGGAUCCGCGCCGCAUUAGCUAGUUGGUAAGGUAACGGCUUACCAAGGCAACGAUGCGUAGCCGACCUGAGAGGGUGAUCGGCCACACUGGAACUGAGACACGGUCCAGACUCCUACGGGAGGCAGCAGUAGGGAAUCUUCCGCAAUGGGCGAAAGCCUGACGGAGCAACGCCGCGUGAGUGAUGAAGGUCUUCGGAUCGUAAAACUCUGUUAUUAGGGAAGAACAAAUGUGUAAGUAACUAUGCUCGUCUUGACGGUACCUAAUCAGAAAGCCACGGCUAACUACGUG